rnacentral:lncRNA from 1 species
CUUGAACCCAGGAGGCGGAGCUUGCAGUGAGCCGAGACCGCGCCGCUGCACUCCAGCCUGGGUGACAGAGCAAGACUCUGUCUCAAAAAAAAAAAAAAAAAAGUGUAAGUGGAUUAAAAGAGAAACUUGGUCUAGUUCAUAAUAUUUUUAAUAGGGCUUUCCCUGGCUGCUGGAAAACUUAGGCCAGUAAGCAUCUCUUUGUUUAAAGUCCUACAAGACAAUUUGAAAUAAUUCAUUGUUCAUGCCAAAAUUCUAAGUACUGUUUUUCUUAGCAAGUGUAACAUAAUCAGGAACAAUGGGUACGAGUAAAACAUUCUUUGGAUGAUAUUCAGAGCCUUAUUAGCACUGCAUCUGAAUAAUAGGUCAUUUUGCCUCACUCAUUUGCCAAAGUAGCCAUUUCUAAGUUAAGGAAGUUUUUAGAUAGGCUCAUAGCCUUGUAUUUCGUUUUAGAUUGUAAGCUCAAUGG